UGCAUCGGCCGGGAAUCGAACCCUGGCCGCCCGCGUGGCAGGCGAGCAUUCAACCACUGAACCACCGAUGC
rnacentral:tRNA from 1 species